GACGAACGCUGGCGGCGUGCUUAACACAUGCAAGUCGAGCGGUAAGGCCCUUUCGGGGGUACGACGAGCGGCGAACGGGUGAGUAACACGUGGGUGACCUGCCCUCAGCUCUGGGAUAAGCCUGGGAAACCGGGUCUAAUACUGGAUAUGACUCCAUGACGCAUGUUGUGGGGUGGAAAGCCUUGUGCGGCUGAGGAUGGGCCCGCGGCCUAUCAGCUUGUUGGUGGGGUGAUGGCCUACCAAGGCGACGACGGGUAGCCGGCCUGAGAGGGCGACCGGCCACACUGGGACUGAGACACGGCCCAGACUCCUACGGGAGGCGGCAGUGGGGAAUCUUGCGCAAUGGGCGAAAGCCUGACGCAGCGACGCCGCGUGAGGGAUGACGGCCUCGG
rnacentral:rRNA from 1 species